CAAUAGCGUAUAUUAAAGUUGUUGCAGUUAAAAAGCUCGUAGUUGAAUUUCUGGCGGGCGCGCCGGUCUUCCAAGUGUUGUACUGGGCGCAGUCCGCCAUCCUUGUGGAGAGGGCUCGCAUUGAGUUGCGUGUCGGAUCUGCAUCAUUUACUGUGAAAAAAUUAGAGUGUUUAAAGCAGGCUGUCGCCUGAAUACAUUAGCAUGGAAUAAUAAGAUAGGACUUCGGUCUAUUUUGUUGGUUGCGAACCGAGGUAAUGAUUAAUAGGGAUAGUUGGGGGUAUUCAUAUUUAAUUGUCAGAGGUGAAAUUCUUGGAUUUAUGAAAGAUGAACAACUGCGAAAGCAUUUACCAAGGAUGUUUUCAUUAA
rnacentral:rRNA from 1 species